CCUACGGGUGGCAGCAGUGAGGAAUAUUGGUCAAUGGCCGGGAGGCUGAACCAGCCAAGUCGCGUGAGGGAAGACGGCCCUACGGGUUGUAAACCUCUUUUUUCAGGGAGCAAGGUGCAGGUCGGGACCUGCUGUGAGAGUACCUGAAGAAAUAGCAUCGGCUAACUCGGUGCCAGCAGCCGCGGUAAUACGGAGGAUGCGAGCGUUAUCCGGAUUUAUUGGGUUAAAGGGGUGCGCAGGCGGAGGGGGAAGUCAGCGGUAAAAUUGCGGGGCUCAACCCCGCUCCGCCGUGGAAACUAUGUCCCUUGAGUGCGCGAAGGGUAGGCGGAAUGCGAGGUGUAGCGGUGAAAUGCAUAGAUAUCACGCAGAACUCCGAUCGCGAAGGCAGCCUACCGGCGCGCAACUGACGCUCAUGCACGAAAGCGUGGGUAUCGAACAGGAUUAGAUACCCGGGUAGUC
rnacentral:rRNA from 1 species